AUCCACCUGACGAGUCCCAAAUAGCACGAAACGAGCGUCCCGGAU
rnacentral:hammerhead_ribozyme from 1 species